rnacentral:lncRNA from 1 species
GCUUCACACGUUCACUCCUCAGAACUCACCUUCAGUUGUUUGUGUGACCCCAUUUGGACCAUAUGGUGGAGGGACUGAAUUGGGGAUGCCUGCUGUUCCACCAAUGUUUGCAGCGCCUGUACCUGCUGCAGGAGCAGAACCCAGCCAGAGACAGCCGCAUACAGCUAAUAUGAACGGAGGAGACACUGAAUUGGGGAUGCCUGCUGUUCCACCAAUGUUUGCAGCGCCUGCACCUGCUGCAGGAGCAGAACCCAACCAGGGACAGCCACAUACAGCUAAUAUGAACGGAACUGCAGUCAACAGUUCGGUCACAUCUUUGCAAACUCCUUCAGCUGCCACACAGGAAUCUGGUAAG